UACGUAGGGUGCAAGCGUUGUCCGGAAUUAUUGGGCGUAAAGAGCUCGUAGGCGGUCUGUCGCGUCGGCUGUGAAAACUCGGGGCUCAACCCCGAGCCUGCAGUCGAUACGGGCAGACUAGAGUUCGGUAGGGGAGACUGGAAUUCCUGGUGUAGCGGUGAAAUGCGCAGAGUAUCAGGAGGAACACCGGUGGCGAAGGCGGGUCUCUGGGCCGUAACUGACGCUGAGGAGCGAAAGCGUGGGGAGCGAACAGG
rnacentral:rRNA from 1 species